UCAGGAAAUUUGGUCUCUUUGCAGUGCACAUGAUAUCUGGAUUUCAUGUACACACAUUGCAGUUUGUUGCCAAGGUGCAUUUGAAGGACCAAACAAGAACAAUCAAAAGCCUUAGUUAGAGCUCCAUAGUGGCCGACACAGACAUGGUUUCCAUUAUUAAUGAAACUUCUGGUGCAGAACCCGUUGAUUCUACCGAGAGGAAAGAAGCUCUACCUUCCACAUCAAGAGUUACCACAUCCUCUCAAGGAAGAACUAGUUUUAAUAGCAUGCAAAGUGUCAGGAAUUCUUACAGAAAACAGGGUUUUUCUAGAACGGCUACCAUGGCAGAAUUUUUAUGUCCUCUUGGCAAAAUUCAACAAAAUGUCAAUAUCAAUGCUAUAUUUCAAGAUGGAUUUUAGUAUUGCGAUAGAAAACAAAUUUCUCAAGUUUCAAUUUCUAUAACAGAUGUAGUUGAAUUUUUAACUGAACAAUAUAACAAAGGGCUAGGAUAUAGUGCCUUGAAUACUGCACGUGGUGCUCUUCCAUCAAUGGGAAUUUGAUUGGAUACUUUCCAUGCUGGUUCUCACCCUACUGUUGUGAGAUUUAUGAAGGGAGUGUAUAAUCUUAGAACUCCUACGCCAAAACUUACUGAAACAUGGGACGUAAAUUUGGUACUGAAUUAUUUGCGGAAACUUUCGCCUGUGAGGACUCUUACGCUUAAGGAUUUAAAAUUGAAAUUGACCACGCUGUUGGGACUUACGAACGCAGCUAGGGCACAGACUUUACAUGUUUUGAGUUAUAAACUGUUAAAAAAGUUCAGUUCAGGUUACAUAAAUUCAGUUUAAUAGUUUGUUCAAACAGAGUCGGCCAGGCUUUGAUUGUUCUUCUUUAGUUUUAAAAGCUUAUCCUCCAGAUAGGAGAUUGUGUGCUAUAACUGUGUUGAAGGAAUAUUUAGUUAGAACUAAACCAUGUAGAAAUAAUACCGAUGAUAGUCUACUUAUAAGUUAUAUCAAACCAUUCUGACCGGUUACCAGAGAUACAAUAAGCCGGUGGAUUCAUGUUGUGAUGGCAAGAUCAGGAAUCGACACCCAGAAAUUUACUGCUCACAGUGUUCGGGCAGCAGCUUCAUCUAAGGCCAAAACUAUGGGGUUCUAAUAUCUGACAUUCUGAAGACAGCGGGCUGGUCUCAGGAAAGUACAUUCAUAAAUUAUUACAACAAAACUAUCCAUGGACAGAACACCUUUGCUGAAACAGUGUUAAGGAUGUGAUAACAGAUCUAACAAAAAGGUUACUGCAUGGCUGAUUUUUUUACAUGGUGUGGUGGUUUGAGUGCCUCUAUGACCAGGAGAGCUAUGCCAGCGGAAGUUUCAACUCUUGACAGGGCUUCCCAAGCUAGACAGAUUGAAGGGUAGAGGACAGACAAGAAUAUCAUGCAGCCAACACUACUGGAGGCUAAGAAGUAUGCCACAUCAGCUGGUAGUCAGUGUUUAUCAG